rnacentral:rRNA from 1 species
UACGGAGGAUCCAAGCGUUAUCCGGAUUUAUUGGGUUUAAAGGGUGCGUAGGCGGUUUUAUAAGUUAGAGGUGAAAUCUCGGGGCUCAACUCCGAAAUUGCCUCUAAUACUGUAGGACUAGAGAGUAGUUGCGGUAGGCGGAAUGUAUGGUGUAGCGGUGAAAUGCUUAGAUAUCACGAAGAACUCCGAUUGCGAAGGCAGCUCACUAGACUGCAACUGACACUGAUGCUCGAAAGUGUGGGUAUCAAACAGG